rnacentral:rRNA from 1 species
AUGUGAGAAAUCGCGACGGGGGGAUCCCAAGUGCCAUUCUUAACGGGAUGGCUUUUCAUUAGUGUAAAAAGCUUUUGGAAUAAGAGCUGGGCAAGACCGGUGCCAGCCGCCGCGGUAACACCGGCAGCUCUAGUGGUAGCAAUUUUUAUUGGGCCUAAAGCGUCCGUAGCCGGUUUAAUAAGUCUCUGGUGAAAUCCUGUAGCUUAACUGUGGGAAUUGCUGGAGAUACUAUUAGACUUGAGACCGGGAGAGGUUAGAGGUACUCCCAGGGUAGAGGUGAAAUUCUGUAAUCCUGGGAGGACCGCCUGUUGCGAAGGCGUCUAACUGGAACGGUUCUGACGGUGAGGGACGAAAGUUAGGGGCGCGAACCGGAUUAGAUACCCCUGUAGUCC